GACAGAGGAUGCAAGCGUUGUUCGGAAUUACUGGGCGUAAAGCGUACGUAGGUGGUCUCGUAUGUCUGGUGUGAAAUCCCUUGGCUCAACCAAGGAAGUGCGCCGGAAACUGCAAGACUUGAGUAUGGGAGAGGAUGGUAGAAUUCUCAGUGUAGAGGUGAAAUUCGUAGAUACUGGGAGGAACACCGGUGGCGAAGGCGACCAUCUGGACCAUAACUGACACUGAUGUACGAAAGCGUGGGUAGCAAACAGG
rnacentral:rRNA from 1 species